ensembl:sense_intronic Gm15535 predicted gene 15535
AAGCCUCACCAAGGAUUUUAUACUCAGCUUAAGCCCCUGGAAGAACUACUGAAAACCCAGCCUUUUAUCCCAGCACACUGCUGCCCUGAAGAAACCUGCAUUUUGUUACCCAGGACAAAGGGAAGAAUGCUUCUGUCAUAGUUUGUAAACUCUGUAUCUCCUGAACCAUUUUCUUCUCGCCGCCCUCGCCCUCGGGAGCUGUGGUUCUCAGCCUUCCUAAUGCUGCAACCCUUCAAUACAGUUUCUCAUGUUGUGGUGACACCAACCAUGAAUUAACUUUUGUUGCUACUUCAUAACUGUAAUUUUGCUACUAUUAUGAGUCACAGUAUAAAUCUGAGAUGCAUGAGAUCUGAUUUGUGACCCUGUGAAAGGGUU